rnacentral:rRNA from 1 species
AUUGAACGCUGGCGGCAGGCCUAACACAUGCAAGUCGAGCGGAUGAUGGGAGCUUGCUCCUGGAUUCAGCGGCGGACGGGUGAGUAAUGCCUAGGAAUCUGCCUGGUAGUGGGGGACAACGUUUCGAAAGGAACGCUAAUACCGCAUACGUCCUACGGGAGAAAGCAGGGGACCUUCGGGCCUUGCGCUACCAGAUGAGCCUAGGUCGGAUUAGCUAGUAGGUGAGGUAAAGGCUCACCUAGGCGACGAUCCGUAACUGGUCUGAGAGGAUGAUCAGUCACACUGGAACUGAGACACGGUCCAGACUCCUACGGGAGGCAGCAGUGGGGAAUAUUGGACAAUGGGCGAAAGCCUGAUCCAGCCAUGCCGCGUGUGUGAAGAAGGCCUUCGGAUUGUAAAGCACUUUAAGUUGGGAGGAAGGGCAGUAAGUUAAUACCUUGCUGUUUUGACGUCACCGACAGAAUAAGCACCGGCUAACUUCGUGCCAGCCGCCGCAGUAACAC